UGAGUAAGUCAGGCGAUCGCGGUUGCACAUAUAUGUGCAGCUGAGGAAAGUCCGAGCUCCACAGGGCAAGGUGCUGGGUAACUCCCAGUGGAGGCGACUCCAAGGAAAGUGCAACAGAAAGAUACCGCCUGAUUUUUGAUCCCUAUAGAGAGUCAUCAAAAAUCAGGUAAGGGUGGAAAGGUGAGGUAAGAGCUCACCAGCAUCCAGGCGACUGGAAUGGCUAUGUAAACCCCACCUGGAGUAAGACCAAAUAGGGGACAUUAUGUGGUGGCCCGCCGCGUCCCGGGUAAGGUCGCAUGAAUCUGUUGGCAACAACAGGUCUAGAUAGAUGAUCGCCCAUGACAGAACUCGGCUUACAGACUUAUCUCACAUC
rnacentral:RNase_P_RNA from 1 species